AUGCAUACGAAGAUACCACAGUUUUAAAAAUAAAAAGAAUUCUUUUAUUGUUUCCUUUGUAGAACUGUGUAUUCGGUAUAGACGAUUCCUUGCGGUUAAUAGCUAUGCUUUCUUUCUCUGUGCUUAUACGCUCUCCUGCACAAUACCUGUACACUUUUCCUGGUUAUUAUGAAGUGAAACGAGUAUCUUUAAGCGAUUGCACUUGCAAUUCACUUUCUCGUGAGUAACGAUAAAGGAAGAUACACUGAUCCAUUGUAUGUGAGGAAAAACAGGAUGUAAGUAUUUAGUAUUUCAUGACACAUGAUAUUUUUAGUUCAUGUUAAAUGGAAUUCUCGAGACAUGUGUAUAACGAAUACCUGGAUAAGAUAUCUGUUGCAUAAGAAAUGAAGACAAAUCGUAUCAAAAACGCUUCAUGAUACAAGAUUGAAAAACUUCUUAUAUGAUUAACAAAAAAUAGAGAGUUCAUGCGUCUGUCCUAAUGUAGGAUUUAAAGGAUCAUGUAGAAAGUUCUUAAUCAUAUCUCUUAAAUAUAAAUAUUAUUUUGCAAUAGAAUUUGUCUGUCAGACUUUAGUUGAACAUAGUACUUAACGGAUCACCCGAUGUACUCGGUAACGUUGGAACGUGGGUCUUCAAAUAGAAUUUCUUGUCCGCGUUUUAAUACGCGUUCGUAUUCAAGUGACGUACAUCCUGACGACGUUUAUUUAUGCCGCGUUCUUCGAUCAGGAAGAACAAAAUACAUUGCUCUUAUCGUAUCGUUAAUUAUCAUGCUAAUAGAACGAAACAACUGUUUCGAGGUCAACGCACUUGAAGAGUGGCGGGCCUCUGGCAUGUCGCUUCAUAAUCCUGUAUUAAUAGAGUUUCAAGCAAAACGAAUCACGUGAGUAAACCUUCACUGAAUCCAAUAAAUCAGUGUUUGCUAUAAUAGUCGUUCCUCGGGCUUUUCCCACAUAUCGGCUUACAGCCUGCCAGUUGAUAGAAUCGAUUUCGCUACCAGUCCGUGCUUACUCCUCGGGAGAUACCGGAAAAAUCUUAAGGUUCAAAAGUCGAAAGCAAGGUCUCGUCUAAGGCGGUUCGUGAAGAAUUUUUAUCGGAGAAGUAUUGAGAUCACACGGCAUGUGAGACUAACAUGCCGUGCAUAUUCGAAUAAAUGCGUACGUUCAUUUGAGAGCGCUCUUACAAUUAGAUGAGCCUUUCAUCCCAAGUCAAUCAGGCAUAGUUCAACUGCCGGGGACCGAAGUCCUCAUCGGAAUAAGACUAGGGGCCAUCCGGCGAGAUAAAUUCAGUAAAUGUUAAUAUGUAAUAUACAAAUACUACAUUUGUUCGUACGAAAAAUGUUGAAAAAAUGAUUCAGGAAGACUAAAUUAUUAUAUUACGGGAUCCAUACUUCAUUGCCAUUUCCUCGAAAGAAAAGGAAAGGAGCAGUCUUUAUGACUACUGUAAAAGAUGAUAUUAAAGAAUUAAAUAGCACAUUGAUAUUCAAAAUUUCUAAACAAAGAUUUAUAAUCACGAUAUAACUAGUAAUAAACCAAUCGUAAGAGCAAAAUCCUAUUAAUUAGUUUUGAAUGGGGUUUGAGUUAGGUGAGAUCACCCUUAGUUUUAAAGGAUUUUACUCGCCGAUCACGUUCUCUCCCAAGAAUUGUCUAAAACGUUUUAUUAUCGCGGGAGGAUCGUGAGAGGAAACUAAUUAUAUUUUUCCCUGUAUCAGCAUACUAGUAACAAUUAUUCUCAAACAGGAUUUGCAAUUGAUUAACAAAUUUUUUUGAAAUGUUAUAACUUAUAUGUACAUGUACUUAUAUGCGUAUGUAUGAUCGCACUAUCAUUUACGAGAUCAAGAUCAGCAGAAUAUAAUGUUAUAAUAAGAUUUAAGAGCAUUAAGAAUGACUUAACGUAGCUACUAUUAGAAUAUAGAGAUUAGGUAUUACAAAAUGUUUAAUUGUGGUAGUAACAUCAGUGUAUAAUUAUAGUCUGACAUUGGGUCGACUCUACUUUUGACUUGUACAACUUUUCUAUGUAUAUCGCAGGAAUUAUUGACGUAAUUAACGAUUAUUGUGCAAUAGUGAUAUAAUUUUGCUCAAGUCACGAUUAAACUGAAAACAAUAUAAACUCGUAUUUCCCUUUGUAUUUAAAAUCACGAUUGUCAUUUGAUACGCGAAUUCCAAAUUAUACUCACGUUUUGGAACGUUUUAAAAUUUUGAAUAAGGCACAAAAGUUUUCUACGCGAGUACUUGAAUAAUUAUGUGAUUCAUCUCGCACGUAUACAUAUAUAUAUACAUAUGUAUAUUUAUGAAUAAGUCAAGGUAUACUUAUUCGCCACGUAUUCACGGAAUUUCGAGAAGUUUCAUUUUGUGGUAUGGUGAACAAGUUAAUCACGGGAAUAUUUCAACUCACAUGCGGAUGUAAAACAUGCUCAAGGACAAUGUACAUAUUGAGGAGAAAGAACAAUUCAGAUCGCAAUCUUCGAGGAAAAAGAAUCACCGAUGAAAUCCCCGUAGCAGCUGUACAUCACAGUUUGUAUGAUAGAAAUGUUUCGAAAUAUAUUUCACGAAUUUUUUAUUGCUUAGUUUAUAGUCACGAAUGUUUUUACAUAUAUGUAUCAGUUGAUUUCACAAAUACUGUGAAUAUUUUAAUAAACUAGAAAUAAAAUGUCGAUAUAAUUGAUAGGGGAUUCGAGAAAAAGAAUUAAUCAAAUGAACUGGUAAAGGGAGGAAGCAAAUUAACUCCUGUGAAAUUCAUCUGACACUUCUGAAAAUUGCACCUAUUCUUCGUAUUACUUAUGACACAAUUUAUAUUCUUAUUCAUCAUUUAAAAUAAUUUUGCAAUUAGGAUUUUCACAAUAUAGAUACUUUUCUUUAGACUACAUUCUGCAGUCUCAUUGUAGUUAGUUUCUCUUCAACAUUUGUGCCGUGUACUAUAUACCGUGUACCGUAUUAAAAGAUGUGUUUAAUCUUCAUUUGUCCAGUGAAAUUUCUCUUCUAUCUAUCCUCUAUCGUCGCAAACAAAAAUCGUAAGACCACAAGUGCCAAUCCGGAUAUUACACUUAACUUGAAAUCACUACAUAAUAUCGCGAUUAACGACGUGUCGUCGGGAUAAAGUAGAAUAUUCCUCAUUUUAAAUGUAGAAAACGUAUCGCGUGUAUAGUGUACUUAAAAUCUCUAAUGUAGGAGGGUACGCCGGAAUAAUAGGCACGAUGAACUAGAUUUAUGGCACGCACAAGGAGCACGCUGUAAAAUGGUACAAAAUGAAAACAGAAUGCGUGCUAAAAUUAAGUCGUAUGUAGGACUCGCCAAGUUUUAUUACAGGAGAUAAGUUGAUUGAUAAACAUAUUACAAUCCAUCACUGUACAAAGAAAAUUACGUUAAUGUGCAAACCUAUUUCCAACGAACUCAUUACUGGCCAUGUGUUCACUUAUUAAAUUAUUAUUACUACUGUAGCCCAUUAUGCGCAGCUUCUUCUUAGAAUACAACUAUAUUACUUAUUUGUUAAAGCAAAUUAUUAAAUUAUUAACUUCUUAUUUACAUUAAGUCAUCCCUAGAAAACUUGUGUUUCUUCAAGUACUAGCAUUAUGUAUCAGAUGACUUAAUGAAUAUAUUAAAACAUUUUUUAUGACAAGGAUACAAUUUUGAUAUUUUUCCAUGCAAAUGGCUCCAAUCAGUGUUGACAAUUCGAUCCAAUAACAUAGUUCACCGUUAACCAAAGUUCAGUGUGUUCGAUCUCUUAUUAGAGAAAUGUUUUGGUGUCUUUUGUUCCCGUUACCUACAUUUUUUAACUGGGCGGGCCUAAAAAGAAUCGGAUGGGACCACGAAAAGAAAUAUCGGUCAGUAGGAUAACGGAACGCGUUGUCUGUUUUACGCACGUCGUCCGCGCGUAUAUUACACGAACUUCUAAGCAAACGAGUAACAGUUGGGCAUAUCGUAAAAUAGGAGAAAAAAUCGAAGUAAAAAAGAGGUGCGGUAUCUGACAUGAAGGAAGAAAAGAGGAAACGGUUACAAAGGGGAAAUUUACAAAGCAGUGAGCGGUUAAGCAAAUGAAUCAGAAAAGUGAGCCAGUUGGUCUCGCCUCCUAUUCCCUUUUCCCCGCCUCUUUUCGAAACACCGAUGACGUUUCGUCCAUUCACCGGUUGUGUAGUUGUGGGCCCCAAUGUCACUGAUUAUUCGUUUAACGGGACCCAUAUGUUCACGGUGGUGGUGAACGAUCAUCUCUCCGAAGACUAGGCGCUAGUUAGGGGUUCUGGGCUUCAGUCAGUACAUUGUCGCGCGCGAGCACUAUCUAGUUCCGUCUGUCGAUUCAGUUACAGCGUUUCGAAAAUAUCGGCUAUUUCAAUAGGAUCAAACGGUAUCAUUGCUAUUUGCACGAGGAUUUUUUCAACGCAAUUGGACAUUGUCAGUUGUACAUUGCAUUGUCGUGUGUGAAGUUUCCAUUUUUAAAUGAAUUAAUCUACUUGAUCCAAUCCGCACUUUAGUAUAUCUAUUAAGUUGAUACUAAAAAUUGUUACACGAUACGGCUAAACCAAUUUGUAUCAACUCUUUGACACGGAUCGAAUCGAUCUCUUUUUUAGCAUAAAUCGUGAAGGAUACACGAGUCGAUUUCUGCAAACCAAUUUUCGACGGUGUAAUUUUCGAUUCUCCGGUAUAUUUGCACCGGGACGUGUCGCAACCGUGAGACUUGGCUUCUCUGCAAACCCGUUCUCAUUAGAGUCGUGCAACCACCACGUGGUCCCAACCGACUGUCAACACUUUAUGUACAUUGUACGAAAGUCUGCUGCGACAAUGAUACUUGUGGGCAGUUCUUUUUUUAUUUUAUUGCGUUAAAUUACUUAUACAAGAAGGCGUUCUAUAUAAAAAACUAAGUAUUUGUCAAGUGCAAUAAAUAUGAGAUAAAUGUAAUAGAUCGACUGCUAUAAUGUCAUAAAGAGAGAAACGGAGACUUAAGAGUUUAAAAAGUUAAUUAUUCAACACCACCAGGAAUGUGGACAAAUAAUUUUCACGUUGUUUUUCAUUUCGAAUAUUAUACAUAUAAGAAUUAAGAAUUUUAAACGAGAGAUUUGCUUGGUAACGAAGUCCGAGACUGGACACAAAGAACCGGCGUGAAAAGAAAAAUUGACGAAAUCGAAUUUUUGAAAAGCACAAAGAACCGAAUGGUUAGGAGUAGAGGACGAAACUAAACCAGUCGGGCAAGAACGCGUGCAAGUAUUUACAAUACUUAAAAAAGAACCAAUUUUUGAGAAGAGGCGAACGUAUCGUGCUGAGUAUUCGACGCGAGUACGUAAAAAGAAGAGUCGACGCAUUUUGCAUAUUAUUCAUCGAAGGAAGAAUAUCGUGAUUCGCGGCAGUUUAUCGAAAGCGCGACAUUAGAUUAAGAUUCACGAUUAAUUAACGAAUCAUUCAAAUUGACGCAAGUGCCGUUGUCGGCUAUUAGAAAACUGCUUCGCUCAUUAAUUUGUUCAGAAACAAGUUUCGUUUAAACGGUUCAACACGGGGUCCAUACUGUCAAGCGUAAGUUAGUAAAUUGCAAUAAAAAAUGAUUUUAGGCGAAUUGAUUUUUGAAAAUGAGAGAAAUAUAAGAACUAAACGUUUCUGGCAUAUCACCAAUGUAACAGUAAAGCAGGAUGUUAUACGUGACGAGCAAAUGAAGCGAAGUUUCAAGAACGUAACGUGAAUUUUCAUUUCUUUCAAGGCUUGUAACUUCUUUG